rnacentral:ncRNA from 1 species
GUUAAAUCAUUGAGAAGGACACGUCUUUUAUCUAAAUACUGUCAGCGAAUCGGGGACCGGUGUGAGCCCGAUCAGUCAAGGAUAAAAGGUAUCCCCUUUGAGUGUGGAACUGAACCUGUUCAGUAAGUUCCACCGUUUCGCCUCCGUUAUCAGGCUCUUAAGUGGUAAUCCGUUUUUCAGGGUUGCUAGUAGGGUGGUACCGCGAGUUCAAGCCAACUCGUCCCUAUC